CCUACGGGCGGCUGCAGUGGGGAAUAUUGGACAAUGGGCGAAAGCCUGAUCCAGCCAUGCCGCGUGUGUGAAGAAGGCCUUCGGGUUGUAAAGCACUUUCAGUGGGGAAGAAAGCCUUGGGGCUAAUACCCUCGAGGAAGGACAUCACCCACAGAAGAAGCACCGGCUAACUCCGUGCCAGCAGCCGCGGUAAUACGGAGGGUGCGAGCGUUAAUCGGAAUUACUGGGCGUAAAGCGCGCGUAGGCGGUCUGAUAAGCCGGUUGUGAAAGCCCCGGGCUCAACCUGGGAACGGCAUCCGGAACUGUCAGGCUAGAGUGCAGGAGAGGAAGGUAGAAUUCCCGGUGUAGCGGUGAAAUGCGUAGAGAUCGGGAGGAAUACCAGUGGCGAAGGCGGCCUUCUGGACUGACACUGACGCUGAGGUGCGAAAGCGUGGGUAGCAAACAGGAUUAGAUACCCCAGUAGC
rnacentral:rRNA from 1 species